rnacentral:lncRNA from 10 species
GCAGAGUUCAAAGCUGUGUGGAAACCGAGCGAGAAUCUCUUCCACAGAAUGUGGAAGCGUCGGCCGAGCGCGGUCCUUGGAGAACCCUUGCUGCGGAGAAUGACGCUCACUCUGCGGCCUGGCCUCGCCUCCCCAUCCCUUCUGCAAACUCACAGGACAGGAUUGAUGGGGAGAGCCCAGGCGAAACGAAGCUGACCCUAGUGACCAGCCCUACUGGCGGCUCUGGAACAGGCCCGGGACCGGUGGCCUGGAGACAGUGGUCCUUUCUGGAUGGGCUGCAGUCUCCGAAGGCUUCCCCCACUGGAGUCAGCCCUUUAGGAGUUUGUCCAGUGCCUCCAGAAAGCUGUUUUUUGGGGGACGGAGGACUUGGCCUGGAAUUCUGGAAUUCCCAGGGGGUCAGACAUGGUUAUGGGAAGUUUAAUAAAACCGGUGAAUCACGUGAAUUCUG